rnacentral:rRNA from 1 species
GACGAACGCUGGCGGCGUGCUUAACACAUGCAAGUCGAACGGAAAGGCCGUGCGUGCGUGGGGUGAUCGAGGGGCGAACGCGUGCGGAACACGUGAGCAACCUGCCCUUGACUUUGGGAUAACUUCAGGAAACGGGGGCUAAUACCGUAUAGCAGAUCCUGCUCCGUGGAGGGGGUUGGAUAGUUUCGGCGGUUGGGGAUGGACGCGCGGCUGAUCAGCUUGUUGGUGGGGUAGUGGUUUACCAAGGCUGGGACGGGUCGCCGGCCUGGGAGGGUGACCGGCGACAUGGGUACUGAGAUACGGCGCAGAGUGCUAUGGGAGGCAGCAGUGGGGAGUAUUGCACAAUGGGCGGAAGCCUGUUGCAGCAGCGCCGCGUUCGGGAUGACGGCCUUCUGGUUGUAAACCGCUUUCGCCUGUGACGAAGCGUUAGUGACGGUAAUCGGUGAAGAAGCACCGGCUAACUACGUG